UCCCCGAAAUACCAACCGCCCUUCUUCUGGCUAGGCUAGUUCUUCAAAGCAAGCAAGCAAGUGCCUGCAGACUGGCCAAGGGCCAACGAGGAUGGGCCAUACGGGGACACGCAUACCGUACGGCUGGUUGCAAGAUCUAGAGCGACGAGUGAAGCGAAAUGGACACGCAUAUCGCAGCAUCUGAAUUCGCUCAUAACAUCCAUAUCCUAAAGCCGAAGGAUUCUUCGCUCCCUCCGCGCUCCACGACUGCUCGAGGGUUUUUUCUUUUUUGUUUCAGCGCGGGGAUUUCUGGAUCCAGACGGCAGUGGAUGCUUCAAGAUGGUCCACCUGCCGUUCGUCGGUAAGGCGGUUUCCUCCACACUCUUCCACUAUCUUCCGAUUUGAUCUGUUGUUCGUUCCUUUCACGAUCUUCCGUCCUGGCCCGAUUUCGCUUCUUCUCUCCGGAGCCCGAGCGCGCCUCCGGCGGGAUUUGUUCUGCUGCUUCUGGACCUGGAGGCGGCCGUGCGGACGGAGAUGUACUCAGUGUCCAUGAAGAGGAGAGGCACAAACCCACACCAUGUUGAUUGCAAAGCCGUAGUACAUUUUUUACUUUUUACUUUGCACAGCUCCAUCUUCCUCCGAAUGCAUGCCAAGGAAAUCUUCGAAGCGACGCACGGCUGGAAUCCUUUACGGCAGCGCCUGGAAGUGUGACGGUGGUUAUCAAAACGUUGGGGAUCUGGAGCUUUUGCAUUCUGCUGUUGAUCUGGGCUCAGUAAGGAUGACUGAGGAUCUGGUGUUGGGAGAGGGCUGCGUCAGGCAGACAGGAGCAAAGCUCUGACGCUGAAAGGAGUUUCCUGAAGACGCCAGGCGCUCUGCUCUUUUUUAGUUUGCUUGGUAGUGUUAGUCUACUGUCUGCUCCUGGACCUGUAAUCUCCUCUUUGCUUUCGUCUUUUUUACUGUCUGAACUGAACCUGUAGAACCAGCUGAUUUCGUUAAUGAAAUCGGAGAGGGCGAGCCUCUCUUUUUAAAAAAAAAAAAAUCUUCCUCCGAAUGCAUGCCAGAUCAUGCUAUUGAAGAAUUAGUACAGAAGGCUAAGACUGGACGAGCUGAAUGAUUUGGAUUAUUUCCUCGGCGAUGUUGAUACAAUCCGCUGUGAUGGUCGAGCUGGUGCUGUAGGAAUUUUGGGCCUGGAAGCAGUCAGAGAAUUGUCAGCCCCAUAUGCAUGCUGUAAUCGUUGCUUUGGGGUGUCAAUGCUGAAGAAUUAGAUGGGGUGAUCUCAUAAAGAGGCAAAGUGGUUGCUUUCAUUUUGGGACGCGCAUUCAGGAUUAAUAUUUAUUGGCAUGUCGAUAUUGAUGUUUGUUCCAUGAUCAUUCUUGGUUUUGGUGGUGAUAACUCCCAAUGGUUUUCUGGUUUAUAAAUUGGAUACUACAAUGCUCAGUUUGUGGGCAGGUUACGGUUUCAAAAAAUGUCUUAAGCGAGCCAAGUUGUGGUUUCUCUCCAUUAUUUCUCACCGUUUAUGUUUUCUUUUGGUUGUUGAUAAAACCCUCCCGGUGAGCGCAUGAUGAAGUAAAGUAUACUCUAUUUUUGAUA